rnacentral:rRNA from 1 species
GAUGAACGCUGACAGAAUGCUUAACACAUGCAAGUCUUUGGCGAAGCUGUGCUUGCACAGCCUAGCCAAGGCGGACGGGUGAGUAACGCGUAAGGAACUUGCCCUGCAGUCAGGGAUAACAGACGGAAACGACUGAUAAGACCUGGUAAAGUCAGGCGGACUCAUGUCCAGCCUGAUGAAAAGAGAUGCUGCAGGAGAGCCUUGCGUCCUAUUAGCUUGUUGGUGGGGUAACGGCCCACCAAGGCGAUGAUAGGUAGCCGGCCUGAGAGGGUGGACGGCCACAAGGGGACUGAGAUACGGCCCUUACUCCUACGGGAGGCAGCAGUGGGGAAUAUUGGACAAUGGAGGCAACCCUGAUCCAGCAAUUCUGUGUGCACGAUGAAGGUUUUCGGAUUGUAAAGUGCUUUCAGCAGGGAAGAAAAAAAUGACGGUACCUGCAGAAGAGACGACGGCUAAAUACGUG